rnacentral:rRNA from 1 species
GGGGAGAUCGGAAUUCCUGGUGUGGCGGUGAAAUGCGCAGAUAUCAGGAGGAACACCGGUGGCGAAGGCGGAUCUCUGGGCCGAUACUGACGCUGAGGAGCGAAAGCGUGGGGAGCGAACAGGAUUAGAUACCCUGGUAGUCCACGCCGUAAACGGUGGGCACUAGGUGUGGGCGACAUUCCACGUCGUCCGUGCCACAGCUAACGCAUUAAGUGCCCCGCCUGGGGAGUACGGCCGCAAGGCUAAAACUCAAAGGAAUUGACGGGGGCCCGCACAAGCGGCGGAGCAUGUGGCUUAAUUCGACGCAACGCGAAGAACCUUACCAAGGCUUGACAUACACCGGAAACGUCUGGAGACAGGCGCCCCCUUGUGGUCGGUGUACAGGUGGUGCAUGGCUGCCGUCAGCUCGUGUCGUGAGAUGUUGGGUUAAGUCCCGCAACGAGCGCAACCCUUGUCCCGUGUUGCCAGCAGGCCCUUGUGGUGCUGGGGACUCACGGGAGACCGCCGGGGUCAACUCGGGGGAAGGUGGGGACGACGUCAAGUCAUCAUGCCCCUUACGUCUUGGGCUGCACACGUGCUACAAUGGCCGGUACAAUGAGCUGCGAUACCGUGAGGUGGAGCGAAUCUCAAAAGCCGGUCUCAGUUCGGAUUGGGGUCUGCAACUCGACCCCAUGAAGUCGGAGUCGCUAGAAAUCGCAGAUCAG